rnacentral:rRNA from 1 species
AUACGGAGGAUCCGAGCGUUAUCCGGAUUUAUUGGGUUUAAAGGGUGCGCAGGCGGCCAUUUAAGUCAGCGGUUAAAUCGUGGGGCUCAACCCCAUUCUGCCGUUGAUACUGGGUGGCUUGGUUGCGGUCGAGGUUGGCGGAAUUCGUUGUGUAGCGGUGAAAUGCAUAGAUAUGACGAAGAACACCGAUUGCGUAGGCAGCUGACCAGACCGCAAAUGACGCUCAUGCACGAAAGUGCGGGGAUCGAACAGGAUUAGAUACCCUGGUAGUCCGCACAGUAAACGAUGAAUACUUGUUUUCGGCGAUAUAAUGUCGGAGGCAAAGCGAAAGCGAUAAGUAUUCCACCUGGGGAGUACGCCGGCAACGGUGAAACUCAAAGGAAUUGACGGGG